CCUACGGUGUGCUGCAGUGAGGAAUAUUGGUCAAUGGACGAGAGUCUGAACCAGCCAAGUAGCGUGAAGGAUGACUGCCCUAUGGGUUGUAAACUUCUUUUAUAAAGGAAUAAAACGAGGCACGUGUGCCUUUUUGCAUGUACUUUAUGAAUAAGGAUCGGCUAACUCCGGGCCAGCAACCGCGGUAAUACGGAGGAUCCGAGCGUUAUCCGGGUUGUUUGGGUUUAAAGGGAGAGUAGAUGGGUGGGUAAGUCAGUUGUGAAAGUUUGCGGCUCAACCGUAAAAUUGCAAUUGAGACUGGCAGUCUUGAGUACAGGUGAGGUAGGCGGAAUUCGUGGUGUCGCGGUGAAAUGCUUAGAUAUCACGAAGAACCCCGAUUGCGACGGCAGCUUACUAAACUGUGACUGACAUUGAUGCUCGAAAGUGUGGGUAUCAAACAGGAUUAGAUACCCCAGUAGUC
rnacentral:rRNA from 1 species